rnacentral:rRNA from 1 species
GACGAACGCUGGCGGCGUGCUUAACACAUGCAAGUCGAACGAUAAAGAAGAGCAACGCGAACUUCGGUUCAAGUUUCACUUCUGAUUAGUGGCAGACGGACGAGUAACGCGUUAGCAACCUACUUCUUACAACGGGAUAUCCUCGGGAAACCGUGCUUAAUACCAUAUGACACAUUCAUAAGGCUUCUUCAGAAUGUUAAAGCUACGGCGGUAAGCGAUGGGCUCGCGUCCCAUUAGCUAGGUGGUGAGGUAACGGCCCACCAAGGAGACGGUGGGUAACCGGGAUGGGAGGGUGACAGGUCGCAUUGGAACUGAGGCACAGUCCAAACUCGUAGGGGAGGGAGCAGUAGAGAGUAUUGCAGGAUGGAGGGAGCUGUGAUACAGCGGCGCGGCGUGAGAGAUGAAGGGAUUCGUAACGUAAAGCUGUGUUUGAUGAGGAGAAAAGGACGGUACCAUGGGAGAAAGCACCGGCUAAAUACGUG